GAUCAGUGCGUGGACAGGGUUGCCCUCCUUUCAAGAAGUUCUAGGGGGAUCUGUCUCCUUGCCUUUUCUCCUUUCUGGAGGCCACCCGCAUGCCUUGGCUCAUGGUAUCCUCGUCCUUCUCAAGCCCAGCAGUGUGCCAGCCUCCAGUCUAUUUCUCUACUUCCGAGGUAACGUUUCCUCUUUCUGCUUUUGACAUCGCAGCUCAUCUGUUGCAAGGACCCUUGUGAUUCCCGGAUAGUCCAGGAUAACCGCCCUGUCUCACAAUUCGUCAUUAUUCACACAUACCAAGUCCCUUUUGCCUUAUGAGGUAACAUGCGCCCAAGUUCAGGGACUAGUGUGUGGACAGCUUCGGAGGCCACCGUUCGGCCCCCCAUGAGUCUACCAAGUGGGGUUGCCAGAUUUAACAGUUACGGAUCUAAAACGUACAAAUUACAAAAACAAAUGGUUGCAUUUGAAUUUCAGAUAAGCAACAAAUAAUUUUGUACUUUAAGUAUGUCCUACCGAGUAUCUGGAUCAUACUUAUAAAAAUGUUUAUUGUGUAUCUGAGAUUCAGAUUAAACGGGGCCUUCUGCAUUUUUUCUGCCAAUUCUACCUUCAACGCCAACAGCAAGAGCCUGAUCUCAUGGGGACACCUCCUUCCGGUUGAUCCCGCACUCUGAUCCUUGUCUCUUCAAUAGAGCAAGAUUACCAAUUACUCAAAUAUGCUUCUCAGAAACUUCCCAUUUAGCUUCUCAAACUCCCAGCAUUAGGGAAAUAUCUCACAGGCAACGACGACCCACGUGCUAGGCUCGGCUCUCUGAACACUUCUCUCACCAGGAUCCUAGUUCAUCAGGUCUAAUUUUAAAUUUCCGGCCAAAAUGACCGAUGCCAUCUCUGUUGGUUUCUCUCUUUUUUUGUGGGGGCCUCUGCCUGGGGAAAGCUCAGCUUCUUUUCCCGCACCCAGCAUCAGCAACUGUUCCCGGGGGCAAAGUGGCCAAUGACUCCUGGGUCACUGUCCGCUGCUCAGCUCCUUUUGGAACACUGAAGGCCCGGUGCUGCUCGUUUCAGCCACCCUCUGAUCCCCUCAGCUGCGGUUUUCAUAGUUGACCAGGCUGGAGUGCAGUUUGGCUGCACGCCCUCCAGUCGGGUGUUCUGGUAGCACGACUGGUGAUUUCCCAGCAUCAUCACGAGGGCCAAAGUGGUUGGUGGGAGCAGCAGCCCAGGUGGACAGAAUGGAGGUGAUGUGGUGACAUCCCAGUGAGAAAGUGUGCUUGUCCACUGGGCGUCAGAGACCUUGGCGGGGAUAUUUGUCCUGACACUGAGCCAAGCAGGCCCCUCUGAACAAUGGGAGGUUGGCAAGCGUCCCUUCCUGCACACGUGGCUUUCCUUUCAGGGAAAGUGAGUGAAAGCCGGGCCCAGGCUGUCCAAAACUGGCCUUGGAGCUUCAUCCUGGGCACAAUCAUUUAAAGAAGGAGAAUUUUAAUGUAAUGACUUUGAAGCUUUUGCCUUCCUGCGAUUGCCCUCUUCUAGCAGCAAAGACAUGGUCACUGCUUCUCUAGCAAGAAGUCAGUUGUGGCCAGCGCGGGGAUGGGUGUGAUUGGAUAUCCAAGGUCAAAGUAUUGCAGGUGGUGUCAUGGAAUAGAAGAAAGAUAUCGUGUCGAACUAAGGAACUCUGAGUAAAGUAUGGACGUUAGUUGCUGAUAAUGUAUCCAUUGUGGUUCGUUAGUUGUGACAAGUGUCGCAGUUGUGACAAGUGUCGCACGAUGAGAAUACUAUAACAUGAUUCUAAGAUAUCAGAGUUUUUACUGCUUAAAUAUAUGGACAUUCUCGGUACUCUUCUGUAACUAUUUAUGGAGCACCUACUCCAGAAAUGAGGAAAGACACUUCCUCAGGACGUCUCUGUUGAGGGAAGUGGAAGCAAGAUUGCGUGCCAGUCACGGGAGUCAGAUUUGACCGGCAUCAAAGGAAUUAGCCAGCAACGUGACUGCAGUGAUACCCUCUACACUCCAGGGGCUUCCCUCCAAUUUCCAGCCGACUAGAGACUGGCGAGGCCACCUGGCUAGUCCUGGCCCACAAUAGGUGAGCAUAAAUGACUUCUGUUUCUUCCACGAUGAGACACUGAAUAGCCAGGGUGCUGCCUUCUUUUCCCCUGCCACAGCACCCCCGGGGAGCCACAUGGUGAUCUGGUGGCAUCACAAGAUGGACAAACGUGGAUCCCAAAUUAGUGCUUGGAGGAGAGCCCAGCCGAUAGGCGUGGCCAUCACACAACUGAGCCAUGGACUGUCAUCCUCGCAUCUUGAGUUUUAUCUGCUAGUGCAGCAGAACGGAGCUUAUCCUCACUAGAACCACCCUCAGAGUCCAGCUCAAGCUACUCUACAGUGUGCCUAGGCAGACCAAGGGAGCCCCUGUGGUGUCUUCUGACAUGUGUCUGUUGGAUCUCUUCAAUGCCAUAAAACUCUAAGAUGACCCUGCGUCUCACACACCCCUUGGAGGACCUGACAGCCUUUUACAAAGAUUCCCUGAACGUGAAAAUGGAUGGAAGAGAGAGCCUCAGAGAUCGACCUUUCGGGAUUCUCAUGCUUCACAAAAGAGCGAAGAAGAAACCUUAGACAUUUCGGUCAGAAAAAUAAGGCGGGGGUCGAAAGAGAUAACUCUGGGAAGAGUGUUUGAAUUUUCAGGAUCAUCGUAGACAUUGUGUUCAGUAACAAUGAAACAAUUGUGUAGAAUGAGUUCCCACAGGCAAAACUUGGUUUAGGUAUCAGAUCAGGGGCCAGGACACUAACUCAGACACCACAUGGAUUUUUAAAAUUAUACUUACUUCUCAGUGGUGCCCCCAAAUAUUUUGAUCAACUCUACAAUUUCAAAGCAACCGUAGAUGUGAGUCCUGGAUAUGGUAGAGUCUCGGGGAAUGUUUCAAAAACAACAAGAUCAUUAUGGAAUCAAGACAUUUUAAAGAUGAUCUUCAGGUAUCAUAAACUUCUGUAAUUGGAAAAAUAAAGCAGCUCUCGCCAACAGCCCUGAUGGUAGGUCAGUAGGGUUCCCAUCUUAAGUGCCUACAAAACUCAGGGGAGAGAACCUGGAGAAAAUACAAGGAACAGCCCAAGAAAUCAUGACCACGAGUAGAAUUUCAUAAGGCUGUAAUAGACACAGCAGUUUGGUACUUAAAAGAGUGAACUGAAAUAAACCCACAAUUUUUUUUUAUCAUAGAAGAUAAUAAUCACAAUUAACAUUUGUAUAGCAUUUUGUAAAAAAAAAAAAAAGUAUUUUCCGGUAAAUCAUGCCAUUUAUUUCUUCCAACAAAUGUCUGGGGUGGGUUAAAUUAUUAGUUCUGGUUGCAGUAAAGAAAACGAGAGGCAGUGGAUACUGUUCCCUUUCUAUUGUAGGAAUAUU